GGCGAGUUGGUAGAGCGGUAAUACAGUGGACUGCAACUCCAUAUAGGCCGGUUCGACUCCGGUGCUCGCCUCCA
rnacentral:tRNA from 1 species